GGUGGUUCUCGGGUGACGCACCCCAGAAUCAGGGAGGAGGGAGCCCGAUUCUGGUGUGCAUCACCCAAGAACUGCC
rfam:Myotis davidii contig92999, whole genome shotgun sequence.